AGCUCCGAGGUGUAAUACAUAUCAAAUUGCAAACUUGAAGUAGUAGGCUAAUCGCCUGCCGGGGCUU
rnacentral:tRNA from 2 species